CCUACGGGUGGCAGCAGUGAGGAAUAUUGGUCAAUGGACGCAAGUCUGAACCAGCCAUGCCGCGUGCAGGAAGACGGCUCUAUGAGUUGUAAACUGCUUUUGUACGGAGGUAAACGCAGAUACGCGUAUCUGUCUGACAGUAUCGUACGAUUCAUGCUCGGCUAACUCCGUGCCAGCAGCCGCGGUAAUACGGAGGAUUCAAGCGUUAUCCGGAUUUAUUGGGUUUAAAGGGUGCGUAGGCGGUCGGAUAAGUUAGAGGUGAAAUCCCGAGGCUCAACUUCGGAAUUGCCUCUGAUACUGUUCGGCUAGAGAGUAGGUGCGGGAGGUGGAAUGCAUGGUGUAGCGGUGAAAUGCGUAGAGAUCAUACAGAACACCGAUUGCGAAGGCAGCCUACCAAGCUACUUCUGACGUUGAGGCACGAAAGCGUGGGGAGCAAACAGGAUUAGAUACCCGAGUAGUC
rnacentral:rRNA from 1 species